AGUGAACGCUGGCGGUAGGCCUAACACAUGCAAGUCGAACGGCAGCACAGUAAGAUCUUGCUCUUACGGGUGGCGAGUGGCGGACGUGUGAGGAAUACAUCGGAAUCUACUUUUUCGUGGGUGAUAACGUAGGGAAACUUACGCUAAUACCGCAUACGACCUACGGGUUAAAGCAUGGGAUCUUCGGACCUUUCGCGAUUGAAUGAGCCGAUGUCGGAUUAGCUAGUUGGCGGGGUAAAGGCCCACCAAGGCGACGAUCCGUAGCUGGUCUGAGAGGAUGAUCAGAAACACUGGAACUGAGACACGGUCCAGACUCCUACGGGAGGCAGCAGUGGGGAAUAUUGGACAAUGGGCGCAAGCCUGAUCCAGCAAUACCGCGUGGGUGAAGAAGGCCUUCGGGUUGUAAAGCCCUUUUGUUGGGAAAGAAAAGAAGCAGGUUAAUACCCCGCUGUUCUGACGGUACCCAAAGAAUAAGCACCGGCUAACUUCGUG
rnacentral:rRNA from 1 species